GGCCCCAUCGUCUAGUGGUUAGGACGGCGGGCUUUCAAUCCGUCAACAGGGGUUCGAUUCCCCUUGGGGCCA
rnacentral:tRNA from 1 species